GCCAUGGUGACGAGAAAUAUACCUCUGCCUUUCUUCCCAACUGUCACUCUUUGAGCUGAGCAGUUCAUAGUUGAUAUUGAGUUGUCAGCUCUCUACCUAGCGUCUUUGAGGAUGGACAACCUCAAUUCUUGCUGCUGCGAUGAUGUUGCCAAGGCUGUGGUGCCAGAUUUUGUCCACCGAAACUCAAGCAACGGUGAAAUCCAGUAUUGGUGCCAGUUUAGACUUGGUGAGAGAAGCAGAGAUUGUACCCAGGCUCCUUAUAUCAGUCAUGGACGUCUAAUGAAGGAUGGAUACCUGGAUACCUUCAAGCAGCUGCUUGAAACACAAAC
rnacentral:lncRNA from 1 species